AACGAACGCUGGCGGCAGGCUUAACACAUGCAAGUCGAACGCAUCCUUCGGGGUGAGUGGCAGACGGGUGAGUAACGCGUGGGAACGUGCCCUUCAGUUCGGGAUAACCCAGGGAAACUUGGGCUAAUACCGGAUACGUGCGAGAGCAGAAAGAUUUAUCGCUGAAGGAUCGGCCCGCGUCUGAUUAGCUAGUUGGUGGGGUAAUGGCCCACCAAGGCGACGAUCAGUAGCUGGUCUGAGAGGAUGAUCAGCCACAUUGGGACUGAGACACGGCCCAAACUCCUACGGGAGGCAGCAGUGGGGAAUAUUGGACAAUGGGCGCGAGCCUGAUCCAGCCAUGCCGCGUGAGUGAUGAAGGCCUUAGGGUCGUAAGGCUCUUUCGUCCGGGACGAUAAUGACGGUACCGGAAGAAGAAGCCCCGGCUAACUUCGUGCCAGCAGCCGCCGUAA
rnacentral:rRNA from 1 species